rnacentral:rRNA from 1 species
UACGUAGGUGACCAGCGUUGUCCGGAUUUACUGGGCGUAAAGAGCGCGCAGGCGGUCGUUCAAGUCGAGUGUGAAAGCCCCCGGCUCAACUGGGGAGGGUCACUUGAUACUGAUCGACUCGAAGGCAGGAGAGGGAAGCGGAAUUCCCGGUGUAGUGGUGAAAUGCGUAGAUAUCGGGAGGAACACCAGUGGUGAAGGCGGCUUCCUGGCCUGUUCUUGACGCUGAGGCGCGAAAGCUAGGGGAGCAAACGGG